rnacentral:rRNA from 1 species
GACGAACGCUGGCGGCGUGCUUAACACAUGCAAGACGAACGAUGAAGCUGGAGCUUGCUCUGGCGGAUUAGUGGCGAACGGGUGAGUAACACGUGAGAAAUCUGCCCUUGACUCUGGGAUAACUGCGGGAAACUGUAGCUAAUACCGGAUACUUUCCCUGGUGGGCAUCCACUGGGGCAGAAAGAAUUUCGGUCAAGGAUGAUCUCGCGGCCUAUCAGCUUGUUGUUGCGGUAAUGGCUCCCCAAGGCGACGACGGGUAGCCGGCCUGAGGUUGUGACCGGCCACACUGGGACUGAGACACGGCCCAGACUCCUACGGGAGGCAGCAGUGGGGAGUAUUGAACAAUGGGCGCAAGCCUGAUGCAGCAACGCCGCGUGAGGGAUGAAGGCCUUCGGGUUGUAAACCUCUUUUAGCAGGGAAGAAGCGAAAGUGACGGUACCUGCAGAAAAAGCACCGGCUAACUACGUGCCAGCAGCCGCCGUAA